rnacentral:sRNA from 1 species
ACAUUCGCGGGCCAGCUUCUGUCCUGCCAGGUCCGGGUCGGCGGCUGCACGGCGGAUGAGACCGGUGCGACUCAUGAAGGUGUUCGUCACCCGCAGGAUACCCGCCGAGGCUGUGAGGUGGAGCAGUGGGACUCGGAUGAGCCCAUCCCCGCCAAGGAGCUAGAGCGAGGUGUGGCGGGGGCCCACGGCCUGCUCUGCCUCCUCUCCGACUGCGUGGACAAGAGGAUCCUGGAUGCCGCAGGGGCCAAUCUCAAAGUCAUCAGCACCAUGUCUGCGGGCUUCGACCACUUGGCUUUGGAUGAAAUCAAGAAGCGUGGGAUCCGAGUUGGCUACACCCCAGAUGUCCUGACAGAUACCACCGCCGAACUCGCAGUCUCCCUGCUACUUACCACCUGCCGUCGGUUGCCAGAGGCCAUCGAGGAAGUGAAGAAUGGUGGCUGGACCUCGUGGAAGCCCCUCUGGCUGUGUGGCUAUGGACUCACGCAGAGCACUGUCGGCAUCAUCGGGCUGGGGCGCAUAGGCCAGGCCAUUGCUCGGCGUCUGAAACCAUUUGGUGUCCAGAGAUUUCUGUACACAGGGCGCCAGCCCAGGCCUGAGGAAGCAGCGGAAUUCCAGGCAGAGUUUGUGUCUACCCCUGAGCUGGCUGCCCAGUCUGAUUUCAUCGUCGUGGCCUGCUCCUUAACGCCUGCAACUGAGGGACUCUGCAACAAGGACUUCUUCCAGAAGAUGAAGGAAACAGCUGUGUUCAUCAACAUCAGCAGGGGUGACGUCGUAAACCAGGACGACCUGUACCAGGCCUUGGCCAGUGGUAAGAUUGCAGCUGCUGGACUGGAUGUGACGAGCCCAGAACCACUGCCUACAAACCACCCUCUCCUGACCCUGAAGAACUGUGUGAUCCUGCCCCACAUUGGCAGUGCCACCCACAGAACCCGCAACACCAUGUCCUUAUUGGCAGCUAACAACUUGCUGGCUGGCCUGAGAGGGGAGCCGAUGCCUAGUGAACUCAAGCUGUAGCCAAACAGUAGAGAUGGAGGGCCAGGAAGCAAACCGUGCCCUGGUAUUGUCAGACGCACCCAGGCU